UCGCGUCGCUGGCCGGCGCCUUCGUGUGGUCGGGCUACUCGGUGCUGUCGCGGCGCGUGGGCGCGGUGCCCACCGACGCGGU
rnacentral:tRNA from 1 species